CCUACGGGAGGCAGCAGUGGGGAAUAUUGCACAAUGGGCGCAAGCCUGAUGCAGCGACGCCGCGUGAGGGAUGACGGCCUUCGGGUUGUAAACCUCUUUCAGUAGGGAAGAAGCGAAAGUGACGGUACCUGCAGAAGAAGCGCCGGCUAACUACGUGCCAGCAGCCGCGGUAAUACGUAGGGCGCAAGCGUUAUCCGGAAUUAUUGGGCGUAAAGAGCUCGUAGGCGGUUUGUCGCGUCUGCCGUGAAAGUCCGGGGCUCAACUCCGGAUCUGCGGUGGGUACGGGCAGACUAGAGUGAUGUAGGGGAGACUGGAAUUCCUGGUGUAGCGGUGAAAUGCGCAGAUAUCAGGAGGAACACCGAUGGCGAAGGCAGGUCUCUGGGCAUUAACUGACGCUGAGGAGCGAAAGCAUGGGGAGCGAACAGGAUUAGAUACCCUGGUAGUCCAUGCGUAACGUAGGCGACUAGUGGUGGGACGAUCCUACGUUUCCGUCGCCGUCGCUACGCAUAGUGCCCGCCGUCGGGAGGUACGGCCGCGACGGACGUAAACGUACGAAGUUAGUUAGUAGCGUUGNGAGNGCGACGACGACGACGACGGAGGAGGAG
rnacentral:rRNA from 1 species